rnacentral:snRNA from 1 species
UUUGCUCUCUUAAAACUUGAAA